rnacentral:rRNA from 1 species
UGCCAGCCGCCGCGGUAAUACGUAGGUGGCAAGCGUUGUCCGGAUUUAUUGGGCGUAAAGCGAGUGCAGGCGGUUCAAUAAGUCUGAUGUGAAAGCCUUCGGCUCAACCGGAGAAUUGCAUCAGAAACUGUUGAACUUGAGUGCAGAAGAGGGGAGUGGAACUCCAUGUGUAGCGGUGGAAUGCGUAGAUAUAUGGAAGAACACCAGUGGCGAAGGCGGCUCUCUGGUCUGCAACUGACGCUGAGGCUCGAAAGCAUGGGUAGCGAACAGGAUUAGAUA